UACAGAGGGGGCAAGCGUUAUUCGGAAUUAUUGGGCGUAAAGAGCCUCGUAGGCGGUGUGUCGCGUCGGCCGUGAAAACCUGCAGCUUAACUGUGGGCUUGCGGUCGAUACGGGCAUCACUGGAGUUCGGCAGGGGAGACUGGAAUUCCUGGUGUAGCGGUGAAAUGCGCAGAUAUCAGGAGGAACACCGGUGGCGAAGGCGGGUCUCUGGGCCGAUACUGACGCUGAGGAGCGAAAGCGUGGGGAGCGAACAGG
rnacentral:rRNA from 1 species